rnacentral:pre_miRNA from 2 species
AGCUGCUUGGCUUUGAGAACUGAAUUCCAUAGGCUUUAAAAUAAUGAAAACGCCCUGUGGCUUCAGUUCUGUAGCUGGGUAGCAA